rnacentral:rRNA from 1 species
AGCGGCGGACGGGUGAGUAACACGUGGGCAACCUGCCUGUAAGACUGGGAUAACUUCGGGAAACCGGAGCUAAUACCGGAUAAUCCUUUCCCUCACAUGAGGGAAAGCUGAAAGACGGUUUCGGCUGUCACUUACAGAUGGGCCCGCGGCGCAUUAGCUAGUUGGUGAGGUAACGGCUCACCAAGGCAACGAUGCGUAGCCGACCUGAGAGGGUGAUCGGCCACACUGGGACUGAGACACGGCCCAGACUCCUACGGGAGGCAGCAGUAGGGAAUCUUCCGCAAUGGACGAAAGUCUGACGGAGCAACGCCGCGUGAGCGAUGAAGGCCUUCGGGUCGUAAAGCUCUGUUGUCAGGGAAGAACAAGUACCGGAGUAACUGCCGGUACCUUGACGGUACCUGACCAGAAAGCCACGGCUAACUACGUGCCAGCAGCCGCGGUAAUACGUAGGUGGCAAGCGUUGUCCGGAAUUAUUGGGCGUAAAGCGCGCGCAGGCGGUUCCUUAAGUCUGAUGUG